rnacentral:rRNA from 1 species
GGAAUAUUGCACAAUGGGGGAAACCCUGAUGCAGCAACGCCGCGUGAAGGAAGACGGUUUUCGGAUUGUAAACUUCUAUCAAUAGGGAAGAAAGAAAUGACGGUACCUAAAUAAGAAGCCCCGGCUAACUACGUGCCAGCAGCCGCGGUAAUACGUAGGGGGCAAGCGUUAUCCGGAUUUACUGGGUGUAAAGGGAGCGUAGACGGCAGCACAAGUCUGGAGUGAAAUGCCGGGGCUUAACCCCGGAACUGCUUUGGAAACUGUGCAGCUAGAGUGCAGGAGAGGUAAGUGGAAUUCCUAGUGUAGCGGUGAAAUGCGUAGAUAUUAGGAGGAACACCAGUGGCGAAGGCGGCUUACUGGACUGUAACUGACGUUGAGGCUCGAAAGCGUGGGGAGCAAACAG